UACAGAGGGUGCGAGCGUUGUUCGGAAUUAUUGGGCGUAAAGGGCGCGUAGGCGGUGCGGCAAGUCACCUGUGAAACCUCUGGGCUUAACCCAGAGCCUGCAGGCGAAACUGCCGUGCUGGAGUGUGGGAGAGGUGCGUGGAAUUCCCGGUGUAGCGGUGAAAUGCGUAGAUAUCAGGAGGAAUACCGAUGGCGAAGGCAGGUCUCUGGGCUGACACUGACGCUCAUGCACGAAAGCGUGGGGAGCAAACAGG
rnacentral:rRNA from 1 species